AUGAUUCAUAGAUGUUAUUGUUUUUAUAAGAAUGUAUUUGAAAACAUUUAUUCUCUGUGUACACAGUUUAUGUAGGAAACUAGCUCCAUGAAAUCUCUUGGCUAGGAAGCCUGUAUAAGGACUUUUUCCAUCUGAUACUGAGGACAGGUUUCAUGGGAAACUCAACCAUAUGAAGGUUACAUACCUUUUUCCCCCUGGAGGACUUCAGCUUUGCUUAUCCAAGUGUGGUUCUCUGUCCUGGAGCUUGUUUGAAAUGCAGACUGAUGAACCUGUGGAAAGAACCAGACAAGGAUCAUAAUAAAGGUGCUAUGAAAGAAUGUAAGACAGGAAAAUAAUUAAAUAUUUUUACUGUGAGUUUCUGGUGAUGCUGAUGAUGGCAAUGAUCAUGAUGACAAUGAUGGUGAUGGUGAUGAUGGUGAUGAUGAUGAUGGCAGUGGCAAUAAUGAUGACAAUGAUUAUGAUGGUGAUGACAGCAAUGGUUAUGCCAAUGAUAGUGACAUAAUGUUGAUGGGAAUGAUGUCAUGAAGAGGAUGAUGACCAUGUGAUGAUGAUAAAUGUUAGCAGCUGACAUGAAUUAAAUUAUUUUAUCUUUCCCAUUGGGCAGAGUCCAGCCUAGAUUCUGUUGCCCUCAGACUUGGUCAUGUGAUCUGUUUCACCAGUGAGAGGAGAGUUGACAGUGGAUUCUUUGGGCGGCAUGAUGGGAUUCCACUUACACAUCAGUUUCUGUUGGAAACAUGGCCUCACAUCUCAGCUCUUCAGAAACAAGUUUAGGUAGAGAAAGGGUCUGUGAAAUUGGGUGGUGUGUGCUGAGUUCCUGUGGCAGAUGUUGAUUCAGGAUUUUCUGAACAUUUAUUGAGCAUCUCUGUUCUAGGCAUUGGGGAUAGAAUGUAAUUGGAGCUUAUAAUUUUGAGAGGGGAGAGAGAAAAAAGUAAAUAUAGAGUAGAUCAGGAAAGGUAAAGGGCAAUGGGCACAAUGUGGGGGGCACAGAGAUUGUCUGUUGGAGACAGGGAUGAGAGGAGGGAACCUCCAAACUGUUGAAAAGCUCAUGUCCAAGCAAAAUCCAGAGUGAAUGAGUGGGUAGUCCAUGUGAUAAAUGGGGAUGGGAAAGUUCUAGAGGGAGAAGUUUAUGGCAAGGGCCCUGGGGAUAACAUAGAAAGCUGA